rnacentral:tRNA from 1 species
UGCCUGGUGGUCUAGCGGUUAAGACUCAGCACUUUCAGUUCUGUGGCCUGGGUUCAAUCCCUGGUCGGGGAA